AUGUCGAUGGAUAAGGUUUUUCAUUAGUGCAGGGGACCACUCUCGAUUUGAUAAUAACUGGGAGGUUGAUGGGAGGUUAUGGCAGCGGUGACGGAGUAGUAAUAGUAAAGGAACCGGACGUGUUACGAAAGAGGCGCUGUCGUGAGAGGGCAGAGGAGCAGGGUGGGAUGGAGAGGUGUGCUGGAUGCUUGCUGCAGGAGGAUGUUGCGCACUUCAAUUUACCUCAGGAGUGAGUGGUCUGUGCAUCCAUGCGGUACUGCGUAAUGAUUUAAUUCAUGAGAAAGACUGGCACAUCCAUCUGUUGUGCUUAGGAAAAAUUGCCUGACAUCUCUUGACGUCAAAACCCCAGACUGACUGCAGUCGACUGACCGCUUGAUUUGCUGACUGCUUCAGAGGCAUAAUCAAUAUUGUUAUUCCUCACAGAGGGGAAAAAAGGUAUUACUUUCAACUUUCUGCGCAAGAAACUGCUGAGCUGAAGGGAAACAUUUGAAUUCACUGUGUAGUAUGUUCGACAUGUCUCGAGAUAAUGCCUGGGAUUUUCUCAGGACCUGCUGAGGAUAAAGCUCUCCAAGACUUCUUUUUCAUCAUACAGUGUGUGAUGCUGGAACACAUGCUGACGUUUCCAGAGAGAUCCUGUUUACAUUCUUCUGAGUGGUAACUGCAAACCAGCUCCAUUGUCUGAUUGACAUUACAAAUGGAAAAUCAUCUGAUCAAGUGGCUGGAGAGCAAUGCGCGAUCAUCCUCACUAGUCCACCGAGCAACAGAGAGGAGAGGACUUAUCGAGGUCUGUCUGCGUAGAACUGCAGGCAGUCCUGGUUGUACCACAUCUAUUACAAUGGUGAAUCACAUUGUCUUGUUUCUUGUGUCAAACUAACAACAUAUUGUUUUCCACCAUUUUCUGCUAUAAUUAAUGUUAUUUUCUAUAAAAAAAUUUUUAGAUUUGAGGGUGUUUUACGCCACAGAAAGAAGCCUUCUGUCAGGAGUGCCCCCCUUGGAAGCUGGUUUCAGAUGGUGGCUUAGAGUUGGUCAUCUAUCUAGCACCAUUUGAAAUCAGUGUUCUUGGGGUGGGAAGUGUAUUUCACUGGCCAGCAACAGACAACUGUGAAGAUUCACAAGAGGUGUCCAGAGAUAAAGGUGAAAUAAAGAGAAGAUUUUCACCUGGAAAGUAUCACUCCCUGAAGAACUACUCAGUGGGCUACAAACCACCAGUCUACAGUGAUGUUGUGACAGCUCAAGCUCUAUGUCCUCUCUCCAAGGUUGACCGAUUUCUUUUGGUGUUCAGAGUCUGCUUUUGUUUCUAGCACCAUUUGAAAUCGGUUACAAUGAAGGACAGAUCUCAUCAUACCUUGAGGAGGAUUUUGCAACUAAGCGGUGCCCUUUAUUUUACUGACUAGAUUGAAAUUUUGUCACAUUAAUGUUUUAAAGCAAGUGAAAACAAAAUUACUCUCACAGUGGCCUGUUAAGUACUCAUCAAUCCCGGAUCUCUAAUUGAUAUCUACAUUGAUGUUUGCAGUGGAGGAAGAAGUAUUCAGAUCCUUUCUUAAAUAAAAGUAACAAUACCACAAUGUAAAAAUACUCAUUUUGAGUAAAGCACUGCAGUAAAAGUACAUAAGUAUUAGCAAAACAUAUUGUUUUGUAUAUGAAACUUUAAUCUGCAAAGUAACAACAGUCAAAUGAAUGUAGUCACGUAAAAAGUACAAUAUUUCCCUUUUGAAAUGUAGUGAUGUAAGUAUAAAGAAGCAUUAAAUUAAAAUAGGUCAGUAGUACCUUAAAAUUGUACUUUCACCACCAUUUGAACAAUUCUCUAGUCAGUGUCAAAUCCACAAGGUGGCACUGUAAUAUAAAGUGUUAGAGGAAUGAUUUUUUGAUAAGUCUCUGGACCCACAGUUUGUAUUUAAAAUAUAUUUAGAGUAGCUUUAGACUGUUUCCCUUUUUAAUUAUCACUGUUAAAAGAUGUUCUGUUUCUUAUAACUUGCUUAAAAUAUUUGGGAUGUCUGGGACUUUCAGUUGGAAAAAAACAGUUCAGUAGUUUCUAUUGCUCCAUGUUAAAUGUAUAAUUUAGUGAUUGCAAAUUGAUGCUGUAUAUCAUACAGUAGCUUAUUUAUGCAUAGUCACACCUGUAGACUAGAUUGGCUUACCUGUAAUGUGGAUGAUAAAAUUCAUUUUUCUCACAUAUUAGAAACUGUGGCUGUAGAAUAAAGUGUGCUGCAAUAGUUGCAAUUGUCUUUGUUGUUUCUCUUUGCUCUGUACCUGUAAGUAACUAACGUGUAAGCUCCCUUCUCAGUCACUGCAUUUGAACAUGCAAAACAUAUGAAAUAGCUGAAUAUACAUGAUGGGGUUGACAAAAUAAGUUUCAUUAACUUUUCAAGCACCAUUGUUUGAUAGCAAACUCCUACACCUCAGUCAAACAAGAUUUAGUCAUGAUAGAGAUUUUCUGACAAAUUUUAGUUUAAUAAAUAAAAAGCCAGGCAAGUGCACAUUUUUUUCAGAGAUCAUAGUCUAUACAUCUUUGUUACCACAGACACAAUAUCUGUGUCCUAAUAGUCUUUAUGUAUACAUCUUCUGGUAUUAAACUGAAACUUACCCUCCGGAAGAGAGAUAUCUACAAACAAAUCAUUUGGAGGGAGAAGAAAAAAAAAAAACCUCAUGGAAAACUGAUUAACUUAAUUUGGUGAAGCUACAGGGCACAAAACAACGUGCCAAUAUUGAACAUGGAUAAUUAUUUAGCAGAAACAUUAAGCUAAGGUAGGCCCGCAAUUAAGCCUCCAUUAACUAACAAGUGAGUUAACAUUUAUGCAAUUCACAGGCAAA